rnacentral:rRNA from 1 species
AUUGAACGCUGGCGGCAGGCUUAACACAUGCAAGUCGAGCGGGGUGAUGGUGCUUGCACUAUCACUUAGCGGCGGACGGGUGAGUAAUGCUUAGGAAUCUGCCUAUUAGUGGGGGACAACAUCUCGAAAGGGAUGCUAAUACCGCAUACGUCCUACGGGAGAAAGCAGGGGAUCACUUGUGACCUUGCGCUAAUAGAUGAGCCUAAGUCGGAUUAGCUAGUUGGUGGGGUAAAGGCCUACCAAGGCGACGAUCUGUAGCGGGUCUGAGAGGAUGAUCCGCCACACUGGGACUGAGACACGGCCCAGACUCCUACGGGAGGCAGCAGUUGGGAAUAUUGGACAAUGGGGGGAACCCUGAUCCAGCCAUGCCGCGUGUGUGAAGAAGGCCUUAUGGUUGUAAAGCACUUUAAGCGAGGAGGAGGCUCUUUUGGUUAAUACCCAAGAUGAGUGGACGUUACUCGCAGAAUGAGCACCGGCUAACUCUGUGCCAGCCGCCGCGGUAA